rnacentral:rRNA from 1 species
UACGUAGGGGGCAAGCGUUGUUCGGAAUUACUGGGCCUAAAGGGCGCGUAGGCGGCACGGCAAGUCAGGCGUGAAAGGCCUGGGCUCAACCGAGGAACUGCUUUUGAGACUGCCGAGCUAGAGUGCAGAAGGGGCAACUGGAAUUCCCAGUGUAGCGGUGAAAUGCGUAGAUAUUGGGAAGAACACCUGAGGCGAAGGCGGGUUGCUGGGCUGACACUGACGCUGAGGCGCGAAAGCCAGGGGAGCAAACGGG